AACCUCUCAUUGCCACUGACCCCGCUAGCCGCCUCAUCCUCCCAUCACCAGCCCGCUGCCUCUCCCACGGAUCUGGGCUCCCAGAACCUGCAUCCCGCAUCGUCCUCGCGUGCUGGCCCUCUGAUCUGUGCGCCUGCAUGCGGUCUGAUCCCCAUGGCAGGGCCCCGACCACAAGGAUCCCGAUGGUGGACAACCGCUGUUGCACUUUCCUGGAGAUCCUGAUGACGAUGGUCGCUGCUGCACCUUCCUGGAGAUCCUCCUUUCCAUCAUCCUCCCGCCGCUCGUCAUCUUCGUUUGAUUCGGCUGCUGUAGUGUAAGCCCUCUUCCCGACUUCCCCUCACAUCGGGCCCCCCCAUGAUUCGUUCCUAUGUGCACACGCCUCUUGGCCUAGAAGCGCUCGUCGAUUUCUAGCUAGUUGUUUCCAUAACUCAUUUGCCACAUUGUCCCGCGUGUCUGUCUGCUUAGCUUCGGUCUCGGUUUUAGUAGGCGAAUCGUUCGAUCUCAAGCUAUUGUGAAGGUGUUGGAUCUGAAUUCUCAAGUAUAAGAGCGUCAAACAAUUAACUGCCACCAAAUCUUGUGCCAGCUAGCAGGACAGCGGUGGAUUAUUUCCAUGGCAUCUUCUCUAUGCUAGACGCAAGUCCUGGUGCUUCUAGUUGUUUUUGUCUUAAAUAAAGAUGCUAAUAUGCAUGUGGCUAUGUGAGGUCUAUUGCAUCCGAUUUAGUGCUGCACAUUUAAGUAAUGUUGAUGAUUGAUUCAAGCAAUUUUUUACUUGGCCUUUAUAUUCUAGAUUAUGUAACCGGUUGAAACUAAGAGAUACAUGAUGAUUCGCUAAAUCAUAAAUAUAUUUAUAUUGCAUAAUAUGCUACCUAAGGCCUUAGUGCCUAUCCUUAACAAAUAUUUUUUAUACUUGAUUCUAUUGUGUAGGUAUUUAUGGCUGUAAGACAGGCCGUUCAACGAGCACCUCAUUAUCUAGAGUCUCAAUUUAAAUGGCUUGAUUUCUAAAGUCCAAUUAGAUUUCCAGUCAGCAAUCACAUAUUAACUACACAAGCAAAGUGCAAAGAUAUAUUAUGUUCUUUUUUUGAAACAAGUUAUUUCUUACAAUACCCUUUUCAUUGUGUUCUUUUCAUUGUAUUUUGGCUUCAUCUGUCAUGUCAUGUUGUGGGUCUGGCUAGCUUCAAUCCUGCUUUUCCUUUUUCAGUUUUGCCUUUUCCAGUGGUAAUACUUGGCAGAGAAAUCAUGAGCCAAGCGCAAACCUUCUGCAAGACCUGGUAACGUAUUUUAGGGUCUAGAAACAGGCGACGAUAGUUUACGCCUUGUUUUUUUAAACCAAUCUAGCCCUGGAUUAGCAAUGAUUUUUUAUGCAGCUCUUGUUUGUUACGACUACUCAUGGCACCAUUUAUGCAUACAUCUGAACUAUUUAUGUUGUUGAUAUGUUUCUAGUGUGGCAAUGAUUUUUUACAUAUAGAUGCUUACCAAAAGUUCAAAAUCUCUCCGGUCAGUAGCAGUAGAAGCAACACACCCAAUUUGUCAUGAGUUGCGUCAGAAGGGUUUGGUGAGGUGUCACUUUUGGUGUACCUCACCGAGCAAAAAUUAGGGGAAUGUUAAUAUAGCUGAUCUAUUUAUGCGAACCAAGACAAGAAUCACAAAAUUUACACUUAAUUUGUGAACAUCAUUAGUAGUUUUGUAGACAUUAAACCUGUGAAAUAUAAAAUACCUUCAAUGUUUUGUAGACAUUGUUGUCCUUAUUUGAAAACUUGCUCAUUCUACUUCGUUAGCUUUUCGAUUAUUGCAUUCAUGUCAAAUGUCACUCAAAAUAUUGCUGCUAUUUUUGGAAUGAAGCCUUUUGCCCAAUUAUGGCUUGCCCAUGAGCAUUUGUACAAGAUUAUGUAUCUUACCUUUCCAUCUAAUUUAAUACAAUAUGAGUGAGGCAUGUCUGGGUAGGUGGGAUUUGGAUCCAUAUUUGUCAACUACACUACCUGUGAUCAACAUUACUCACCGUCAUAUACGACAGUACAAAUGAACUAGCUUGAGAUCAUUCAUAUUUCCCUAAUUCCAAAUAAUGUUGACUGGAGAGAUUUUUUCUUUUGGUAAUCUAAUCUUCUAACUCAAGUUUGCAUUCAGUUUAGACUAUAGGUUAUGUUAGUCAUAACAAGAUGGAAAAGAUAAUCAUAUUAAUAAGGAAAGAUCAUAUUAACAGUUCAUAUUACGUUUGCAGAUAUGGACCUCGGUGGUUUUCUCCAUAUUAGGGAAGCUGUUAGAGUCCUUUCUACUCAUUUUUAUGCUAACAGUGGUGUUAUUGUGAAAAAGAGUCUUGCGUGUAUGUACCAUAUGGUUAGUAACACAUCAAUUUAUUUGGUCCCGUUUGUUUACAAUCUCGCAUAAUUCAACAUCCUUUUGUUUAAAUCAAUAUCCACAUACUAUACUAGUUCCUGGGUACCGCCUCAUCGGCAAUAAGAAGCAUCGAUUUAUCAAUUGUACUUAUUCAUAUUCUGAAAAUAGAGGUCAUUUGUACCUUUUUGUCAUUUGUUCUGUAGAUGGUUAGGGUUUAGGGUGUAGGGUUGCCUUUUUCACCAAUUUAUGACAUCCAUUGAUAUGUUUUACGCCAG
rnacentral:lncRNA from 1 species